ACGCUCGACACCACGGGAGCAGCAGUGGGGGAUAUUGCACAAUGGGGGAAACCCUGAUGCAGCAACGCCGCGUGUGGGAAGAAGGUUUUCGGAUUGUAAACCACUGUUCUCAGGGACGAUAAUGACGGUACCUGAGGAGAAAGCUCCGGCUAACUACGUGCAAGCAGCCGCGGUAAUCUGAGCGGGCUGGCAAGGC
rnacentral:rRNA from 1 species